GACGUAGGGUGCGAGCGUUGUCCGGAUUUAUUGGGCGUAAAGAGCGUGUAGGCGGCCAUGCAGGUCCGUUGUGAAAACUCGAGGCUCAACCUCGAGACGCCGAUGGAAACCGCAUGGCUAGAGUCCGGAAGAGGAGAGUGGAAUUCCUGGUGUAGCGGUGAAAUGCGCAGAUAUCAGGAAGAACACCCGUGGCUAAGGCGGCUCUCUAGUACGGUACUGACGCUGAGACGCGAAAGCGUGGGGAGCGAACAGG
rnacentral:rRNA from 1 species